AUUACUUUGGCAGAUUAGUGCUAUAGACUUAGGAUCUUUAUAUAUAAAUUAUUAUAGGUAAUA
rnacentral:tRNA from 1 species